rnacentral:lncRNA from 1 species
ACGCCAUUGAUAUGCUCCGAAAUGCUUCAUCUGCUAUUGUCUCAAAUUAUUGUUCACAAUACCCUUUUGUACUCUGGUGUUUGUGGGAUUAUUUAGACCUUUGCCAGAAAUGGUUAAGGGUAUGUGCUUAGAGCCUGCGAUGCUCUAGAUUAUGUUUGGUGGUCAUUCAGAAAUGGAUGGACCAUAUUAUGUUUGGAAUCCCACUUCACCUUCUAUCUGUUUCAUCUGUUAUUGUUACGCUUGGAAAUGUUCCAUAUGUCAUUGAUAUGCUCUAGAACAUUUCAUACGCUAUUGAUAUGCUUCAAUUACUCUGUUCUCCAUUUGCUAUGAACUGAUAUGUUCUGAAAUGUCCUAUUUGCCAUUGAUAUGCUCCGGAACAUCUCGUACGCUAUUGAUAUGCUCCAAUUACUCUUUGCUCCAUUUGUUAUGAACCAAAUAGGUUUUGAAUGACAUGACAC